GGGUGGGGGGCACGGGGGGCCUACGGGAGGCAGCAGUAAGGAAUAUUGGUCAAUGGACGAAAGUCUGAACCAGCCAUCCCGCGUGCAGGAUGACUGCCCUAUGGGUUGUAAACUGCUUUUAGUAGAGAAGAAACGCAGUCAUUUAUGAUUGCCUGACGUACCUACAGAAAGACAUGUAU
rnacentral:rRNA from 1 species